GGAUUUGUCAGUUGGUCGGGCUUCACUGUCCGUAUUGACUUGAUGGAUUCUUACCUUCUGAAUAACCAGCAUGCUAUUAAGUUAGUGCGUUGGGGAACCAGGACUUUUACCUUGAGAAAAUUGGAGUGUUCAAAGCAGGCCUUUGCCUGAAUACAUUAGCAUGGAAUAAUAGAAUAGGACGUGUGGUUCUAUUUUGUUGGUUUCUAGGAUCGCCGUA
rnacentral:rRNA from 1 species